UCGAAAGAUAGAAAUUUGCGUUCGCUGAGGGAUUUACGCGGCUGUCAUGUACCAGUUUUAGAGCUUAUUCAUGAGAAGGCGUCAAGUUCCAUAAAUAGUAGGUAUAAGCUACCUAAAAGUAAACAACUGUUUUUUAUGCACUACUGUCCGACUUAUUACCAACUUCAUAUUCAUGUGACGAACGUGGACAACCCCCACCGCGGUGCCAGCGUGGGAAGGGCGCAUUUACUAUCAACUGUUAUCGAGAAUCUUAAGUUAUGCCCAUUUUUCUAUA